CAGCUGGCUACACAUUGAACAGUUCUUACAAAUUGCCGGAAACGCGGCAGCACACGGAUCCGAUAUGUUUCAGGACAGUCAUUAUUAAGAAGAAAUACCAUGUGUCAAUCUCCCAAAGACCUUCGAGGGCAUUAUCCUCCUAAAAUCCCUUAAUUACUGCUCUGGGGCUCACAUGUGUUCCUGGCCCGCAGCAUGCACGAGAGGGGAGUGCUGGCAGCAGUCACCCCGGUGUGAUGUUCAUUAACUUCCUCAGCCUCUGCUCUUUCCUCUUCUGAGCAGCAGAGGGAAGAAAGCUUGCUAGGAGGCUGCAAAGAGAGCAAGAAGGGUUCCAGGCUGACAGGAGCCAUGGUGGGACAGGUGACAAGGUGCUCGCUGGCUUCUCAGGGCAGGCUGCUCCGGGAACUCCAGUCCAGCAGAGUGCUGGAGCACAGACUGCGUGGGACACAAGCUGCUCUUCUCCUGUAAUGCAGCCCGCAGUGAUUUCUAGCAUUUUGAAGUACGAAAGCAUUUUGCCACAACUUUCAGCCAUUCUUUCAUCUAUCGAGGAAUGUGAGUGUUCUAAUUUCUGCAGGGGAUUACUAAUUCAUUACAGGCUUUUGGCAAAACCCAUGCAAGUUCUGCUCAUUACACAUUUUGAUGACUGUAUGUUUCUCUGCGUGUGCUUCUGUACAAUAGGUGAAGUAUGAUUUCAUACAGUGUGGCUAUUCAUUGAGGAAAAAGAGGGCUUUACCCUUACCUGUGACUUAUUGGGUUUACGGUUUAUUGUGAUUUGGUCUUUAAAUGGCCACACUGAGCAUCCUUUAAAGAGAGAGGGAUGUGUCCCUACCUAUAGCAGAGGAGUUGGAACUAGGUGAUCUGAAAGGUCCCUUCCAAC
rnacentral:lncRNA from 1 species